UACGGGGGGAGCAAGCGUUGUUCGGAUUUACUGGGCGUAAAGCGCACGUAGGCGGACAUUUAAGUCAGGGGUGAAAUCCCAGAGCUCAACUCUGGAACUGCCUUUGAUACUGGGUGUCUUGAGUAUGGAAGAGGUGAGUGGAAUUCCGAGUGUAGAGGUGAAAUUCGUAGAUAUUCGGAGGAACACCAGUGGCGAAGGCGGCUCACUGGUCCAUUACUGACGCUGAGGUGCGAAAGCGUGGGGAGCAAACAGG
rnacentral:rRNA from 1 species